rnacentral:rRNA from 1 species
GGGUUGUGAGGUUAAGCGACUAAGCGUACACGGUGGAUGCCCUGGCAGUCAGAGGCGAUGAAGGACGUGCUAAUCUGCGAUAAGCGUCGGUAAGGUGAUAUGAACCGUUAUAACCGGCGAUUUCCGAAUGGGGAAACCCAGUGUGUUUCGACACACUAUCAUUAACUGAAUCCAUAGGUUAAUGAGGCGAACCGGGGGAACUGAAACAUCUAAGUACCCCGAGGAAAAGAAAUCAACCGAGAUUCCCCCAGUAGCGGCGAGCGAACGGGGAGCAGCCCAGAGCCUGAAUCAGUGUGUGUGUUAGUGGAAGCGUCUGGAAAGGCGCGCGAUACAGGGUGACAGCCCCGUACACAAAAAUGCACAUGCUGUGAGCUCGAUGAGUAGGGCGGGACACGUGGUAUCCUGUCUGAAUAUGGGGGGACCAUCCUCCAAGGCUAAAUACUCCUGACUGACCGAUAGUGAACCAGUACCGUGAGGGAAAGGCGAAAAGAACCCCGGCGAGGGGAGUGAAAAAGAACCUGAAACCGUGUACGUACAAGCAGUGGGAGCACGCUUAGGCGUGUGACUGCGUACCUUUUGUAUAAUGGGUCAGCGACUUAUAUUCUGUAGCAAGGUUAACCGAAUAGGGGAGCCGAAGGGAAACCGAGUCUUAACUGGGCGUUAAGUUGCAGGGUAUAGACCCGAAACCCGGUGAUCUAGCCAUGGGCAGGUUGAAGGUUGGGUAACACUAACUGGAGGACCGAACCGACUAAUGUUGAAAAAUUAGCGGAUGACUUGUGGCUGGGGGUGAAAGGCCAAUCAAACCGGGAGAUAGCUGGUUCUCCCCGAAAGCUAUUUAGGUAGCGCCUCGUGAAUUCAUCUCCGGGGGUAGAGCACUGUUUCGGCAAGGGGGUCAUCCCGACUUACCAACCCGAUGCAAACUGCGAAUACCGGAGAAUGUUAUCACGGGAGACACACGGCGGGUGCUAACGUCCGUCGUGAAGAGGGAAACAACCCAGACCGCCAGCUAAGGUCCCAAAGUCAUGGUUAAGUGGGAAACGAUGUGGGAAGGCCCAGACAGCCAGGAUGUUGGCUUAGAAGCAGCCAUCAUUUAAAGAAAGCGUAAUAGCUCACUGGUCGAGUCGGCCUGCGCGGAAGAUGUAACGGGGCUAAACCAUGCACCGAAGCUGCGGCAGCGACGCUUAUGCGUUGUUGGGUAGGGGAGCGUUCUGUAAGCCUGCGAAGGUGUGCUGUGAGGCAUGCUGGAGGUAUCAGAAGUGCGAAUGCUGACAUAAGUAACGAUAAAGCGGGUGAAAAGCCCGCUCGCCGGAAGACCAAGGGUUCCUGUCCAACGUUAAUCGGGGCAGGGUGAGUCGACCCCUAAGGCGAGGCCGAAAGGCGUAGUCGAUGGGAAACAGGUUAAUAUUCCUGUACUUGGUGUUACUGCGAAGGGGGGACGGAGAAGGCUAUGUUGGCCGGGCGACGGUUGUCCCGGUUUAAGCGUGUAGGCUGGUUUUCCAGGCAAAUCCGGAAAAUCAAGGCUGAGGCGUGAUGACGAGGCACUACGGUGCUGAAGCAACAAAUGCCCUGCUUCCAGGAAAAGCCUCUAAGCAUCAGGUAACAUCAAAUCGUACCCCAAACCGACACAGGUGGUCAGGUAGAGAAUACCAAGGCGCUUGAGAGAACUCGGGUGAAGGAACUAGGCAAAAUGGUGCCGUAACUUCGGGAGAAGGCACGCUGAUAUGUAGGUGAAGUCCCUCGCGGAUGGAGCUGAAAUCAGUCGAAGAUACCAGCUGGCUGCAACUGUUUAUUAAAAACACAGCACUGUGCAAACACGAAAGUGGACGUAUACGGUGUGACGCCUGCCCGGUGCCGGAAGGUUAAUUGAUGGGGUCAGCGCAAGCGAAGCUCUUGAUCGAAGCCCCGGUAAACGGCGGCCGUAACUAUAACGGUCCUAAGGUAGCGAAAUUCCUUGUCGGGUAAGUUCCGACCUGCACGAAUGGCGUAAUGAUGGCCAGGCUGUCUCCACCCGAGACUCAGUGAAAUUGAACUCGCUGUGAAGAUGCAGUGUACCCGCGGCAAGACGGAAAGACCCCGUGAACCUUUACUAUAGCUUGACACUGAACAUUGAGCCUUGAUGUGUAGGAUAGGUGGGAGGCUUUGAAGUGUGGACGCCAGUCUGCAUGGAGCCGACCUUGAAAUACCACCCUUUAAUGUUUGAUGUUCUAACGUUGACCCGUGAUCCGGGUUGCGGACAGUGUCUGGUGGGUAGUUUGACUGGGGCGGUCUCCUCCUAAAGAGUAACGGAGGAGCACGAAGGUUGGCUAAUCCUGGUCGGACAUCAGGAGGUUAGUGCAAUGGCAUAAGCCAGCUUGACUGCGAGCGUGACGGCGCGAGCAGGUGCGAAAGCAGGUCAUAGUGAUCCGGUGGUUCUGAAUGGAAGGGCCAUCGCUCAACGGAUAAAAGGUACUCCGGGGAUAACAGGCUGAUACCGCCCAAGAGUUCAUAUCGACGGCGGUGUUUGGCACCUCGAUGUCGGCUCAUCACAUCCUGGGGCUGAAGUAGGUCCCAAGGGUAUGGCUGUUCGCCAUUUAAAGUGGUACGCGAGCUGGGUUUAGAACGUCGUGAGACAGUUCGGUCCCUAUCUGCCGUGGGCGCUGGAGAAUUGAGGGGGGCUGCUCCUAGUACGAGAGGACCGGAGUGGACGCAUCACUGGUGUUCGGGUUGUCAUGCCAAUGGCACUGCCCGGUAGCUAAAUGCGGAAGAGAUAAGUGCUGAAAGCAUCUAAGCACGAAACUUGCCCCGAGAUGAGUUCUCCCUGACUCCUUGAGAGUCCUGAAGGAACGUUGAAGACGACGACGUUGAUAGGCCGGGUGUGUAAGCGCAGCGAUGCGUUGAGCUAACCGGUACUAAUGAACCGUGAGGCUUAACCUUACAACGCCGAAG